rnacentral:rRNA from 1 species
UUAAUUGAAGAGUUUGAUCAUGGCUCAGAUUGAACGCUGGCGGCAGGCCUAACACAUGCAAGUCGAACGGUAACAGGGAGCAGCUUGCUGCUCUGCUGACGAGUGGCGGACGGGUGAGUAAUGUCUGGGAAACUGCCUGAUGGAGGGGGAUAACUACUGGAAACGGUAGCUAAUACCGCAUAACGUCUACGGACCAAAGUGGGGGACCU